GGUUGAAGUUUUAAAGCAAAUUGAACUUUAUAAUUUGCAUAAUUUCGAUUACAUGAAUAUGAUUUUAGUUUUCAUAUGAAUCAAUUAUGAUGGAUCUUCAAAAUUUAUUUAAUUUGGAAAUAAAUUGGGCCUAACUGAUUAUUAGGCUAUUUAAGAGUAUUUUGGACCAGAUUGUUCAACCCAUUAUACAAUUAUCAUUUUUCCUUCUUACUUUGAGCUCACGCCUUCUACAGUGGUGAACAAACCAGAUAUUUCACUCUUACUUUUUUUAUUGAAAGAAGAAUAAGCAUCCCCGUAGCUUGUUUUCACCCUUUUAACACCCCUUCCUCAUCUAAUUCACAUCACCCCAAAAAGAAUAACACUCACAAUUCAAUUUCUUCAGCUGCUAGAAUUUCUGCAGUACUCUUCCCAAUCCCAGAUUUUCGAAUCCAAUUCAUACGGAUACAGAUAGCAUAAACCUCAUCAAGGUUUGCUUUCUUUCCUACCCAGCUUUCUGCAUCAAUUAUAUUGAUGUCUCCUCGAACUAACCAAUAUUCAAUGAUUUCAAUUUCAACAAAACACAUACGUUUUCUUUACUUUGGAUCUCAUCACCUGCAAGAAUACCUAAUGACCAUAUCGAAACAGGGUAUAUAUAUAUGGGUACACAGAACAACUUGCAUAAAAUGUUGAAAAGAAGCUAUCUUUUUCAUGUAUAUGUGGGUGUGUGCUGCUGUGUGCGUGAGUUUUUCGAAGCUGCUGUCGCUGUUGUUGUGAGUCGGGAUGUGUGAGUUGGUGGAGGAGGCAGUCGAAGGAGGCGACCCUCGUUGCAGUCGAUCGGCGAGGAGAGGGCUGAGGUUGUGAGGUUGCUGAGCCGUGAACACAGGGAUCGGCGGUGGCGGUGGCCUAUUAGCUGCUGCUGCGUGCCGGUUGGACGGAGAGAAGGGUUAGGCGAGAGGCGAAGGAGGCGGAGGUUCCGGCUGUAAUGUCGCCGGAAAUCGUAGGGGGAAGCAGCUAGGGUUUCUGAUUUGGGGAUUUAGGAUUUCUGCAUUUGGGGGUUCGGUGAAUUGAGGGAGGAGAGAGAAAGAUAGAGAGAGACGGGGCGGCGGUGGUAAACGCCGGCGACGCGCCGCCGGAUUCGUGGGAGGCGGCGGUGGCGUAAGAGGGAAGAAGAGAGGAACCUAAGGAGAGAGAGAGAUGGGGAGUUCUUGUGUUGUGUCUGUGUGUGCGCGUUGAAAAAGAAGAAAAGAAAAAAUGAGGGAGAGAUUGAUGAGUUGAGUUGGGCUCAAGCAUUGGGCCUUUAAUUUAAUGAAGUGGGCUGCACUUUUAUAACUUGGGCUAUGAAUUAUAUUUUGGGCUGUAUUUUUAUAUGAAGAGAGCCUCUUAUUAAAUUACUAAUUGGGCAAUGAAUUUACUUAUUUGUGAAUUGAGUUGUUAGACUCUUAAUUGAGUUUAACUAAGUAUUUAAACAUGAUUGCAUAUGCAUAUGUAUUGGAUGUAAUUACCGAAAUAUGUGUUUUAAUGCAUAAAAAGAAUUUGCAUUAUACAUUUUGCAUAAAAGCAUUUAUGAGUAAAUUGAGUUUUUAAAGUAAAAGCCGAGCAAAGGUAUUAUUGAAACCCUUAGCCAAGAAAAAUGAUUUUUAAGUUUUAUGUUGAAUUUUUGAAAACUCGGGUGUUCCGAAUCUAGUUAAAAAAUGAUGACAAGUCAUGAGUUUAACGACUAUGAGUUUAAGUUGAGAACUUAUCUUGUAGGUCCUACAGAAGAGGAUAUUUAGGCUCUUGAUCAGCUGAGUUAUAUUGUUUGGAUUUUCUCCAAAUCAAGUGAGGCUUUAUUUAUGAAAUGUAUGUUUGAGCUAAUAAGCUCGUUUUUAUGAAAUGUUAAAGUUGAUGGUUCAUGCUUAAAAUGUUUUUGCUCUCUAUUGGUUAUUGCUUCUACUAGAACAUUGUUGGCUCCGCCAACCAGAACAUUGUUAGCUCUGCUAACCAGAAUUGUGUACGUACACCAGAACCUAUUGUCUCGAGAGAUUCGGUGACAACCAGUUGUAGAUAGCACGCCCAAUAGAUGAGCCAGGAAAAUAUGAGCUCAGAUUAUUUUAGUGUGCAUGGAAUGACUCAUUUUUAAAAACAUAAUGUGUUAUACUGUUUAAAGCAUGAAUUAUCUUUUUAGAAUAUAUAUAUUUCAAAUGUUUUUAAAUGGCCCAACCUACUGAGUACACUAGUACUCAGCCCUGCAAAUGUUUUCAAAACCUUUUGCAGAUUGAGCAGCUGGUGGUGACGUGCGAGGCUGAGGAAAGGUUGUUGUUGUAAUAUUGAAGAACACUAUGUUUUACUUCCGCUGAAAUAGAUUCACUUGGUGAAUAUAAUCUUAGGCCUAACUAUAAUUUAAAUCGUUUUAAUCUGGAUUCCAUUUUCCAUCGUUUUCCCAAGUGAUUGUUAUUCUGCAUAUAUAUUAUGUAUGCCUAAUAUGAAAUGUUGUUUUGGGCUCAGACCUUCGAACUUUCGAUCCUGUUAGGGAUAACAAUUAUAUCAUAAUAUCAUGCUUAUUACCUUUGGAAUAUGACAUAUUUUUCAAUUGAUGAAAU
rnacentral:lncRNA from 1 species